CUGCAGGCCUAACACAUGCAAGUCGAACGGUAACAGGAAGCAGCUUGCUGCUUUGCUGACGAGUGGCGGACGGGUGAGUAAUGUCUGGGAAACUGCCUGAUGGAGGGGGAUAACUACUGGAAACGGUAGCUAAUACCGCAUAACGUCGCAAGACCAAAGAGGGGGACCUUCGGGCCUCUUGCCAUCGGAUGUGCCCAGAUGGGAUUAGCUAGUAGGUGGGGUAACGGCUCACCUAGGCGACGAUCCCUAGCUGGUCUGAGAGGAUGACCAGCCACACUGGAACUGAGACACGGUCCAGACUCCUACGGGAGGCAGCAGUGGGGAAUAUUGCACAAUGGGCGCAAGCCUGAUGCAGCCAUGCCGCGUGUAUGAAGAAGGCCUUCGGGUUGUAAAGUACUUUCAGCGGGGAGGAAGGCGAUAAGGUUAAUAACCUUGUCGAUUGACGUUACCCGCAGAAGAAGCACCGGCUAACUCCGUGCCAGCAGCCGCGGUAAUACGGAGGGUGCAAGCGUUAAUCGGAAUUACUGGGCGUAAAGCGCACGCAGGCGGUCUGUCAAGUCGGAUGUGAAAUCCCCGGGCUCAACCUGGGAACUGCAUUCGAAACUGGCAGGCUAGAGUCUUGUAGAGGGGGGUAGAAUUCCAGGUGUAGCGGUGAAAU
rnacentral:rRNA from 1 species